rnacentral:misc_RNA from 1 species
UCAGAUCUACGCCCGAGGCA